CCAGAUACACUCACUGACACUGUGCACGAACAACUCCUUUCCACUAUUUGAACGUUACUUCGACUGUUUGAAAUAGAGCGGCCGAACAGCCUAAUUCUCUGGAACUAUUUUGGGCAUGAAACCAUGCGUGUGGUCAGUCAAAAAGACACUUCCAGGAAUUUCCUGAACCCCUGCUCUGAUCUGGGUGAUUUUUGGAUAUGUUGUUCACCCAGAUCAGGGCUAUCAGGGGAUAUGUUGUG